rnacentral:rRNA from 1 species
CCUACGGGUGGCUGCAGUGGGGAAUAUUGCGCAAUGGGCGAAAGCCUGACGCAGCGACGCCGCGUGAGGGAUGAAGGUCUUCGGAUCGUAAACCUCUGUCAGCAGGGAAGAACGGUCACUGUGCUAAUCAGCAGUGAAUUGACGGUACCUGCAAAGGAAGCAUCGGCUAACUCCGUGCCAGCAGCCGCGGUAAUACGGAGGAUGCGAGCGUUAUCCGGAUUUAUUGGGUUUAAAGGGUGCGUAGGCGGUAUUUUAAGUUAGUGGUAAAACGUCGGGGCUUCACCUUGAUUGGCCAUUAAAACUGGAGUACUAGAGUACAGACGAGGUAGGCGGAAUAAGGUAAGUAGCGGUGAAAUGCUUAGAUAUAACUUAGAACCCCGAUAGCGAAGGCAGCUUACCAGACUGUUACUGACGCUGAAGCACGAGAGCGUGGGUAGCGAACAGGAUUAGAUACCCGUGUAGUC